rnacentral:lncRNA from 1 species
GUUAUCACACACGACCAAAAACCAUAGAGAGAACACUUGGUAGAUAAAGAAACCGAGUAGUGAUCGGUUGAGGGUGGGUGUUCAGCAUGGUGGUGCUAGUUGCGCUGAGUAGCAGCUGUAGUGUAUCACAACAACCAAUAAAGUGGCUACAUGGUGGUUCCAUAUGGUGGUGUGCGAUCCGGUCAUGAGAGGGUGAGAGUGUGCAAUUUAUCUUAGCCAUAGGGAGGACCAUAGCGUUGCAAUAAUACUUGUGGUGAUGAAGCUAACACACGACCCGUGGUGGUGGUGUUAUCAACAUUUAAAAAAAUAAAAGGUGAUAAACACCUUCCUUAUGAGUUGUGGUACGACCGACAGGUUGUUGUUCACGGCUGAUCAACUCAGAAAAAAGCCUAAUUGUGAUGGUAGAGAUGGUUGGUGGCAGAGCUAGAGGUGGUGUUUCAUGGAGGUUUUGGGUUUUCAUGUCGGAACAAAAGCACAAAUACCUAGAGAUCAAUUUUCUAAUAGUUGAUAAAGAGUUAAUGGUGGUUAAAUGAGUUUCAAAGUGGGAUGAGCUUCACACGCCUUUCAGGGUUGAUGUGAUUUUAGGGGUAAAGCACAGGUAUUAAGUGGUAGGUUGAUUGUUUGUGGGGGUUAUUUGUGGUUUUGUGUGAUUGUGAUAAGUUGUAUGGAUAUAUUGUAGUAGAUAUUAUGAUGCAUGCUUAAUGCAUGAAAUAUAAUUUCU